rnacentral:hammerhead_ribozyme from 1 species
GCACUGCUGAGGAGUCUUGCAGUAGGACGAAACGGCCGUCCAGUGC